rnacentral:rRNA from 1 species
UACGUAGGGUGCAAGCGUUAAUCGGAAUUACUGGGCGUAAAGCGUGCGCAGGCGGUUUUGUAAGUCUGACGUGAAAUCCCCCGGGCUCAACCUGGGAAUUGCGUUGGAGACUGCAAGGCUGGAGUCUGGCAGAGGGGGGUAGAAUUCCACGUGUAGCAGUGAAAUGCGUAGAGAUGUGGAGGAACACCGAUGGCGAAGGCAGCCCCCUGGGUCAAGACUGACGCUCAUGCACGAAAGCGUGGGGAGCAAACAGG